rnacentral:lncRNA from 1 species
GCUUCUCGAGAUAGCUUUCUCGAGAGGUACAGGAGCUUCCUCAGUGGUGUGCUUCUGUUGUGGUGGUUCUUGUGCUUUUGAUUUCUACAUUUGAGCUUCAUUUCCCUUUUUUAAAAGAUAACAUGUAGGUAUUAGUGCAGAAAAAAAGAUUAACAAUCUAUUUCUUUAGAACUUAAUUUUCUGUAGAGUCUUAUGAUCAUUGAUCCAAAGUAUGUUCCGAUUUCAAUCAUGUGGGAUUGAUCUUAACAACCUUUAACUUGAGGGUUAAAUUUAUAUGUAUUUAUACUACAAGGACUGCCUCGCAUAUGCGAACUGAUUAAAUCUUCAACUGUUGUUUUGGUGUAGCUGCGAUGUGACAUCUAUGUAUUACUAUCUGAAAAAUGAAUGUCCUUAGCAUAUCUAUAUGGGAAUUGGUUCUAGGCAAUCCAUCAAGAUUCAAUAUCUUAGUCUUAGGGCUUGUGCUUUACUAUGGUGGAAUCCUCUAGAAUCUAGUAUGGUGGAAUCCACUGGAAUCUAGGAUUGUGGAAUCCUCUUCUGUUUCUCACCUUGUGUUUCUUGAUUCUUUCACAAGAUUGCCCCAGAUUUUUACUGAUUCUUGUUCUUCUACCUUCGUGUGAAUCACAUACAUCUUUUCGGGUCUAGUACAGGACAUGUUUCAUGAUAUGUCCUUUAUGGGGAUAAUGGUGCAUGUGCCGUUUGCAAGUUUUCAAUUGGCUGGGAUUCUCUUGAUACAGAUACCUAUAUUCAUAUUGCACCUUCCUAUUAUCCCUUUUGAUUUCUUCUUUGACUAUUUCUUCAUGCUAGAAUGAAACAUCUUCCGUGCUGUUAAUCAAAUCAGUUCAACUCUAAUAAUUGUGCUCUAGGCAGAAUCAAGUCAUUGACUUGAUUAGAUGGUGACCAAUGUGCCGCUUUUUUCUCAUCAACAGGCUGUGACAGCAAUGGUGUAGCAGACUAUGCAAUAUAUUGACCAGACACCUGAUUUUGAGACAAUGAUAGAGCUUAUUGAGACACUGUACUCUAUUGCCCUGUGAUGGUUAGUAUGUGAAAAGAAACCCUAUUGCAGAUUAUGUUUAUGAGCAAUCUUUUUUUUUUUCCCCUUCCCCGUGGUUUCUAUAGCUAGUUUCGUUAUGCAGAUAUAUGUCAAAAUUGAGAGAGCACCGUCAAUUAAGAAGCUUGCAAAAGUAAAGGAAGAACAGGUUCUUAUAGCAGAAGCUAUUGACUUUAUGCAGGAAAUUGCAGUAACUAGAAGCUGACUACUGUUGUCCCUGAUCUUGUAAUUGAUUUUUCCUUGUCCAACAUUCCUAUGAUGGGUUUAAAUUGCAGGUAGAAACUUUUGAAGCAAUGGCAGAGACGGAGAAAGUUGCCUUUAUCCUUGAACAAGUAAAGGUUUUCUGUAUUGCUUUAAGCUGCUUAUGCACUAUUGCUAAGAUUGGUUUUCUAAUCGAUGGAUUUUGCAGGUUCUUUGUGCUUAGAUCACAGGGAUUAUGUCCAUGCACAGGUCCUUUCCAGAAAGAGAAGCUGUUGACUUUAUGCCGGAAAUUGCAGUAACUAGAAGCUGACUACUGUUGUCACUGAUCUUGUAAUUGAUUUUUCCUUGUCCAACAUUUCUAUGAUGGGUUUAAAUUGCAGGUAGAAACUUUUAUGUUGUGUCCACUAUCUUUUAACUAAAUUGUUUUCACCAAUCAAUUGCUACCUGGUAUUCAAGUUAGGGUUCAAACCAUGAACUUCUAUGGCUUUAUUUAGUUGGUACAUACUCUUCUUCCUUUCUAGCUUUACAGCAAACUCUGACGAUCAAGAUGUGCUUAAUGGAUCUAAACAUACAUCUCAGUUUACCUAGUGUUCAUGUUGUUAAUGAUGUAGGUAUUGCUCACAUCACAACAAUUACCUCAAGAUAUGUUGAUGCUAUAAGGCCACACGGUGAAGGGAAACCCAGAGCAAUUGAUACUGGUGAAGCUCUAUUGUUGUUGAGUCUUCACUGAGUGUUUUGAGGCACGGCUGUAGGUUCUAAGGAAAAUCUACUGGUACUUGGUUCUAUCACCACAUAAUCCUAUGUAGUCAAGCCUUCUUAAUGCCGCUUUAAGGAUCAAAAUCUCUCAUAUAUUACCCAAUUCAGGUACCAUUUUUGAAUUGUUCUGGGUAAUUGGUUGUACAUCUUGCAACAUCUCAAUAACGUGCCAUAGAAUUUGGUUGACCAUGCCUUUGUUACUUCAACGCAGGUUGCUUCUGAAACAAUUGGUCACACUAGAGGCUAUCCAAUGGACUGCUCUUUGGAGUACUUUUAAAGAUGAAUUUGAGAAUGAGAAAAACAUGCUCGGAGGUGCACUUGUUGAGAAGGCAGCAGAAGAUCUUAGACAGAGAAUCAUUAAACGUGUAAUUACAGAACUUUGUCAUUUGUGACUCACUCUAUUUUCUGCAGAAUAUUAUUGUUGUUUCAAAGUAUUACCCGAGGAUUAUUUUAAAUAGACUUCCAGAGCUGUGAUGCCUUAGUAUUUAGAUCUGAUUAUGGGGAACAUUGGUUUAUGUUUUCUUAUCAAUGUCAUCUUUAUGAAUGAUUUUCAAGACCCCACAUUUAACCCUGAGCAGCCUCUCUGCCUGUAAUCCCUGAUUGCGACAUGGUUGCCGGACUUGGAUACAAAUUCUAAAAUAGUGGAAACGAGGUUUAGGUACCUUGAAAGCCGAAGGCUUGUCAUACUAUUGAAAAUGUUGUCUUUGUAGUUUCGUUCCGUAAACAUUUCUGAUCGACAUAUACGUGUGCACUUGGCUUAGUCAACUUCUGCUCAUAAAAUUUUUAGCUGUGUGAUUGUCUGGUAUUGUGAAACCAUUUCUUGUCCCAUGGAGCCGAUGCCCUUUGGAAGGGUGGGAGGAGCUGUGCUAUAUUGCUAAAAUAGUUAAGCAAGUUUUUUCUGCUAGUAUUAGCACUCACCGUUUCUGGCAUAUAAAAGUAUGUCCCACUGUUGGAGCUUUCUUAAUGUGUUUAGAAAACCUACGUGGCUGAAUCACUCAGGGAGAAGAGCUCUCUUCUCGGGUUUCUAUUACUGCUGUUGUAGAGCAUUUUAAUCGUUCACAUGCCUCAAUUGAUAAAAUCAAUGCUAUCAUCUAAUAGAAAGAUCGCCCGACGUGUCGAAUUUUAGUAUUCGAGCGUUAGCAGACCUCAAGAGUUAACCGUGGGGGGGGUGUUGCAGAAGAGAACGACGGCUGGAUGCAACGCCCUCUCCAUCCGCUCCAGGUAAACACAUGCACGCGUCUCUCGAGCUUUCCUGUGGUCUCUCAGCUUCAGCUGCAUCUUAGAACCCCGGUCGGACCGCGUCACUCCGGUGCGCGAGCUCAUCAAUUGUUUGGAUUGGAGAUUUUAGUUUGCUCGUAGUAGGUAGCCCGAUAGUUUCGACAGCAAUUGGGUAGGCGGUUGAAGCAAAAAGUCGCGCUGGCUGCCAAGGUUCUGUCGAGAUUUGGUGAGUUGACCAAGGUCACGAGCUUAGGUUUGCUGUUUUUGAGCUGAGGCUAGCACGUACUGUUUAGUCAAAUUCCUGCAUUAGUGACGCUGUGAAAGCUCUAAAUCGGCCACGAGUAGAUGUGUGGGGGCGUGAUGCAGAUGAUCGAUCAAUCGCAUUUGAAGUUUAGAGUCGAUCCAUCUCAUGACGUAAAUUUGCAAUUGCAGAUAGUUGGGGUGGCGGUGUUCAGUUUCCUAGCAGUGGCCUUCUACAUCUUCCCAGGACUGUUGCUUGGGAGUAGAGCCGCUGAAAUCACUGUGAUGACAAUAGUCUCUUUUGUGGUAAUUCCCUUAGCGUUUACUUUGUGCCAUGAUGACAUUGAUUGCUUUUCUUUUGUCAGUUUUAGGGAAUUGAAUUAUAAGGGGAUUAUAAAUGAGAAUGAGGUGUUGCCCUCAUUCUGAAUUAGAUUGUAUGGAAGAUUUAAUCGGUGGUUGUGGCAAGGUAGAAUAUACUUUAUAUACAGACUUGGGGGAAUCCAUAAUAACCUUUUAUUGAUGGAGUUAAAAGUGGGCUCUACCUUCAUGAGAGCUUGGGUUGGGGUAGAUGGAAGGUCUACUGUGCCUCCACAAACAAUAGUGCAGCACAGUGCAGUACAAUGCCAACACCUUUGUACGACAGCCAUCUUUUCUGACUGGGGACAGAAUUCUCUUUUACAUCAUAGCAUAUAGCUCUUUACCUUUUCUAUAUUUUUAUCCUCCCGUCCUCUUCUUUUCACUGCCAUUGUCUGGUUUUGCGUUUGUUUUAUUCUCCUGUACUUUUGCCACAGAUGCUUCUCUAGUUAACUUUCUCUAAGAGGCAUGAGAGCUUCUUCAGCGAUGUGCUUUUGCUGUGGUGGUAUUAGUGCUUUUGUCUUCUACUUUUGAGCUUCAUUCCCUCCUUUUAAAGAUAACAUACACGUGUUAGUACAGAAUUAAGAAUUUGAGAAUCUAUCACUUUGCAUCUUAAUUUUCUGUAGUCUUAUGAUCAUUGAUUCAAAGUCCAAUUUCAAUCAAUUAGGAUCAAUCUUAACAACCUUUACCUUACGGGUUAGAUUUUAUACUGUAGGGAUUGGCUCCCAUAUGAGUACUGAUUAGAUCAUGAAAGGUCGUUUUUGUGUAGCUAUGACAUGCCACCUAUGUAAAACUAUCUAAAAACUGAAUGCGCUUGGUGUAUCUACAUAGGAAUUGGCUCUAGGCAAUCUGUUGGGAUGCAAGAUCUCAAGCCUGGUGCUUGUUCUCUAGAAACUAGUAUGGUGGAAUGCUCUAGAAUCUACUAUUGUGGAAUUGUCUUUAGUUUCUCACCUUGUGUUUCUGGAUUUUCUCCCAUGAUUGCCCCAAGUUUUUACUUUUUGUUCUCCUACUCAUGUAAUCUCAUUACUUUUUUUUCAUGUCCUGUUCAUGAUAUAUCCUUUAUGGGGAUCUUGUGGUGCUUGUGAUGUUUGCAAGUUUUCAAUUGGCUGGGAUCCUCUUCAUAGAGAUACCUGUAUUUGUAUUAUACCUUGCUAUUGUCCCUUUUGCUUCCUGUUUUUACCAUUAUUUCAUUCUAGACUGACAAAUUUUCCGUGUUGUAAGACCCUACUUAUAGCAGAAGCUACUGAUUUGAUGCAAAAAAUUUGAAUAACAAGAAGUUGACUUCAGUUAUCACUGAUCUUGUACUUGGUUUUUCCUUGUCCAACAUUCCUAUAAUGGGUUUGAAAUGCAGGUAGAAACUUUUGGAGCAACGGCAAAGACCUGGAAAAUUUCCUUUAUUUUUGAACAAGUACGAGUUUUUGUAUUGCUUUUAGCCAUUUAUGCACUAUUACUAUGAUUGGUUUUCUGAUUGAUGGAUUUUGCAGGUUUGUCUAUGCAUAGAUUGCCAGGAUUAUGUCUGUGCACACAUCCUUUCUAGGAAGAUCAGGCCCCAAGUGAUCAAUGCAGAUCCUUCCAAAGAGAAGAAUAAGCCUAAAGAAAGCGCCAGCUGAUAUUCCGUCUCUUCUGGAGUUGAAACAAUUAUACUACGACUCAUGACACGGUAAACUUGUGUUUCACUUUUUCUAAUGUUGUAUCUACUAUCUUUUAACUAAUUUGUUUUUGUCGAUCAAGUGGCACCUGGUAUUCUGGACCAUGAACUUGUAUGGCUUUAUAUAUCUAGCACAUACUCUUCUUCCUUUCUAACUUUAUUGCAAACUCUGACUUCCAGAUUUACUUGAUGGAUUUGAACUCGCAUCUCGAUAUAUCUCGCAUUUAUGUGGUUAACGAUAUCGGUAUAAAUGAUUACCUUGAGAUUUGUUGAUACUGUAAGGCGAUAUAUGAGAUUCCAUUAGUGAAGGGCAACCCAGAGCAGUGGAUAUCGGUGAAGCUCUUUCCUUGUUAAAUCUUUACUGAGUUUUUCAAGGCACAAUUGUUCAUUCUGUGAUUUAAUGAAAUGCAGGUUCUAAGGAAAAUCUGCUCGUACUUAGUUCUAUCACCACAUGAUCCUGUACAAUUAAGCCUUCUUAAUGCCACUUUAGAAAAUAAACAUCUCUCAGAAAUUCCCAUUUCAUCUUUGAAUUGUUUUAGGUUAUUGGUUGUACAUCUUGUAAUAUCUCAAUAAUGUGCCAUAGAAUUUGGUUGACCAUGCCUUUGUUAUUUUAACACAGGUUGCUGCUGAAACAAUUGGUCAUGGUGGAGGUUAUCCAAUGGACACCUCUUUAAAGUACUUUCAAAGAUGAAUUUGAGAAUGAGAAAAUGUGCUAGGAGGUGCACUUGUUGAGAAGGUAGCAGAAAAUCUUAGACAGGGCCCAAUCAUAGUCAAAAGAAGAAUUUCUGCUUCUCCUGGGUGAGACAAGCUACCUUUGGCUAGGGGCCUCAUCAGAGAAUCAUUGAACAUGUAAUUACAGAACUCGUUGUUUUUCUUCUUUUAAUUGGAUCAUCACUGAGAUGUGACUCACUCUAUUUUGUGCAGAAUAUUAUUGUCAUUUUGAAGUAUUGCUGGAGGAUUACCUUAAAGAGACUUGCAGAGCUGUUAUGCCUCAGUAUCCAGGUCUGAUUAUGUGGAACAAUUGUUUAUGUUCAUUAUCCAUGUCACUCUUUAUGAAUGAUUGCCUAGACCCCUCAUUUAACCCCGAGCAGCCUCUCUCCCAUGAUCCCUAAUUGGGGCAUGGCUGCUGAUCUUGGAUACAAGUUCCAAAUGUGUAAAGAGGUUUUGGUGCGUUGAAAGCCAAAGGCUUGUCAUGGAUUUGAGAGUGUUGUCUUCAUAAUUUUGUUUUGUACACUUGGCUUAGUCAACUUCUUGUUGUAGUUGUGUCAUUUUCUAGCAUUAUGAAGCCAUUUCUUGUGCCAUGGAGCCUGAAAUUCUAAUGCACUUUAUAAGGGUGGGAGGAGCUCUGUUAUAUUGCUAGAAAUAGCUAAGCUAGCUUUUUCUGCUAGUAUUAACACUCACCAUACCAUUUCCUGCGUUACAAAAGUAUAUCUCGCUGGAGAUCUUGAUUAAUGUGUUUAGGAAAUCUUUGAAGUUAAAUCACUCUAGGAAAAGAGCUUUGUUUUUGGGUUCUCUUACUACUGUUGUUGAGAGCUUUAAUCAAUCACAUGCCUCAAUUUAUUAAAUCAACGCUAUCAUCUAAUAGAGAGACCAUAUAAUGAUAAUUAUUCAAGCUUUUGUGAUAUUCUAUCAGCAUGACCUCUUACUUCUAUAUUACCAUUUUAGGAAGCUGAGAAGCAUCUCUCCUUGAUGGUUGUUUCCAAGUCCCUAAUGGCAAAGAUAGACUGGCCAAAGGGAAUUGUUAGUUUCAAAAUGACAAAGGACAGCAAUGAGAUUUUAAACUUAGAGGAGACAAUUUUGGAAAAGCUGCUUCUUUUUGUUAAGAAAAGUUGCCACCAAAUCCCAAAGGAAACUGCAGUUCAUAAGGCUGCCUCAAGAGCUUGAAGAUGUUUUCAUUUGAAUGAAUGAUCUCUCCUCAAUGAAUGCUGUUUCACAUUGUGGUCCAAAGUGUGGACGGGAGAUAUUCAUCAUUGAACUCUCACAUGGCUGUCUUAAACUUGAUUGCAUAUUUUGCAAGAUGACCAGAUCUUGGCUUUGUUUCGGAUAUACUUAAUACGCUUUCAAAAUAGGAAUGUAGUUUGGUUUUUUCAACUUUCCUCUUUCCCCCAUCAUUUUAAUUGAAGAUUUAUGGGCUCAGGUCCGAAACUUAUAUCAAUGGAACAGGUAUUAGCACAAGAUGUGCACUCAUUUGGACUGAAAUAAGUGCCUCGUUACUAAAUUCUGUUUCGCAUUACAAAUGUUGCUAGUGCUUGUGUUUUUCUAACAUCGUGAAUAACAUUAGCUCUCCCUAGUAAAGGCUUAACGAAUGGUACUUUUUCCAUUUUAUUUCACAUUUGAAAUGAGCACCCUGUUUCUAGAGAACUUCAUUCCGAUAAGAUAACUGCACAUUUUAUCUCUUCGAGAGACGUUUUUUUUCUUCAAGUUGAUACUUGAUAGAAGAUGGAGCUUGUUUUUUAGAUUUCCAGCUCCCUUAUUUUCUUCAUGGAAACUGAAAAAUUUGGGAAAAGCUAUGGCCAUGAUAUCUUUUGGCUAUGAAAAUAGUUGUGCCCCAUAAGUGAAAAGCACCAUUUUACUUUCUUCACCAAGUAAACGUAUUUAUUAUUUUGUUAGAGAAUGUGAUUAUAGAAAUUACUUAGCAUAAUUUAAAGAAAAUUCAUGAUUUUUACUAUAGUAACUUUUCUUGUUAUAUGUGCCGUUAAUGGAUUGGAAAUUACAUAAAUCAUCAUAGAUACACUUAAAAGUUAUUCUUGAGGUCCUCAUUAACACGAUCAAUCAUUUAGGAGAAAUAAAAAAAAUUUCUUCAAAAUUUGAUCCUCAGUUUAAAGCAGCCUGGAACUUGUUUUACUACCUCUAGUUAA